rnacentral:rRNA from 1 species
UGGGGAAUAUUGCACAAUGGGGGAAACCCUGAUGCAGCGACGCCGCGUGAGCGAAGAAGUAUUUCGGUAUGUAAAGCUCUAUCAGCAGGGAAGAAAAUGACGGUACCUGACUAAGAAGCCCCGGCUAACUACGUGCCAGCAGCCGCGGUAAUACGUAGGGGGCAAGCGUUAUCCGGAUUUACUGGGUGUAAAGGGAGCGUAGACGGCUACUGCAAGUCUGAAGUGAAAACCCAGGGCUCAACCUUGGGACUGCUUUGGAAACUGCAGAGCUUGAGUACCGGAGGGGUAAGCGGAAUUCCUAGUGUAGCGGUGAAAUGCGUAGAUAUUAGGAGGAACACCAGUGGCGAAGGCGGCUUACUGGACGGUAACUGACGUUGAGGCUCGAAAGCGUGGGGAGCAAACAGGAUUAGAUACCC